UUCACGCGGAGAUAUAAAGUUGGAUCGCCAAUAACCGGAAGUUAAAAUGCAAACGCUUCACUAGGAAGCGUUUCACGCAGCUGGUGCAAAAUCACUUUUAUUUUUUAUCUGCGGGAAGGAAAAACAGUUUUAUGAUUUUUUUUUUUCCUGUGAGAUAGCACUGUCAUCAAAAUACAGAUGCUUUUCCUACAUCAAUGAUUUUUCACUACAGCCUAAGGGCCUCUUGGCUUUAAAGCUCUAGUUAUUUUUGCUAAUAUAUCAAGAAUUUAACUCCUAACUAUUUCAUAAAUCAACUCCAGAUGCACUGUACAGUACUUAUAUACUUAUUUUCAGACGUACAUUCUGGCUCAGUAGAUUGCCAACUCACCAUUUCAGUGCUUCAAAGUGAUGAUGCUGGGAAUUGUCAGCUCUGAAGACAAGGUUAGCUCACAGGAGCAGAAUGUACUGUGUAAAAUGCUAAUUUAUGAAAGUGUUACAAUCCAUAUAUCUUGCAGGUCGAAUUGCAUGCGUUAUAUGAUCAGAAAUACACAGAGGAUUGAUCUGCCAGUGCUUAUUUUAAAGCAGAAUUCAUGUUGUCUCCAAAGGUGAGGGUGCCAGUGAUGUACUGGGGCAGAAGCUAGAAGGUGCAUCUUUCAACCCACCCCAGCCUGGAGAAGCUGUGGCAAAGCACUCCUGUACCCUGAUAACAAACCCCCGUGGCCUUACCCUCACCCCAACAUUGCUGGGAGCAGUGAGCACCCUGCCCUGCCCAGGAUGAAAAAUAUCUCCUGUGAGCCAAUAGAUGCCCUACUCAUUUUUAAAAAUCUUUUCUCACUUUGAUGGGCUCCUGACCAGCAGAUGACACAUCCUGAGGCCUAUGAGCUGCUGAGGGUGUUGCUUUCCCGUAAACAGUUGCUCUCUGAGAAGCCUCAGUAGCCUCUGCAGCCAAGGGGACUCUGGGGGGCUCUCGCAGACUCCAUUUUACCAUCCUCCUGCCAGCCUGUGGGUAGUCUUUCCUAUUGUAGGUAGGCCUGUGGUGCUCAUAUGAAGGUGACAUCCAGCUCCAAGUUUGCAGUUAAUCAAGUCUACUCGGUGAAGUUGAACAAUUUAAUCAGUGUGUGAUGAAGCCUUGGAUGUAUCUGAGCUGUAUCACAUUAUCUUCAAAUCUAAAGCAAUCGUCAGAGAUUAGAUGGGGGGAACUAAUGACACAGUGGUAGUUCCUGCCCUGAUCCUGCGAGAAAUGCUGUGCAGUCACAUCACAGUACAGCAGUGUGAGCACAGCAGCCUGUACUGUGUGUGGUCAUUGCACGGCCAAGGCCGUGGUAAGUCUCCUAUUCCCGGGACGCUGUCAUGCUGUUUAGUAACCAGAUUACAGCUUGGGUACGCAUUACUUAGCAACCCUUGCCAGGAAUGCUUUUCGUCUGCCUGGUGAGAAGGCUGGGACUCUUCCUUCAGGGGCACUAUCAGAUAAGUGUCCUGUCGCUUGUGCGCGGAGUUUUUGUGAUACGGUGGCAGGGCGAUGGGAGCUGAAGGCCACUUAGAUGUGGCACCGAAUGGCACUGUGUGACUUGGCCCUGUUUCUUGCAGAAAACACAUUCCACCCAUGUUUCAUGCCCUGCCCAGCCUGCUGCUUCAUCUCCAGGAAGGAGGAGAGGAGGGAGGAAGGAGGAAGAAGGUUGUUUUUGGUUAAGGUGCUACUGUCUUGGGACCUGGUUAUUUUAUAUAGUUUCUUUCCAGUUCCAGGCAGCUGUAGAAGUAAGAAAGUACUUUAAACUAGUAGAUUUUUCACGCCUGCUCUCUUUAUGAAGCGCCGUCUUGCUUUUCCGCUGGUCUGACACAUGACUGCCAACCUGGCUCGAUCGGGAGUCUCCAUGUCCACCUAGGCUGGAAGGCACAUCCGGACGGCCGGAGGCGUUGCCGGCUGCCGGCGGUGAUGGCAGAGCCCCGCUUUUCCGGCAGCUCCAGGCCUUGCCAGGGCACGUCAGUAUUUCUUGUCCCUCACUUUCGGGGUGUCUUCCCGGUGCGGGGAACCCCCAAAGCCGGUCAAACCCUCCCGCGGGCGAGGAGCGCACCCCACGCCGGCGGUGCGGGGCGGUGCGGGGCGGUGCGGGGCGCCGGGCUCAGCGCCACCGGGAGCUGCUGAAGUGAGAACUUGAAAGGAGCCGUCGGUGGCGAGAAGAGGCGGACAAAGCAAGCGCCGAGCUACCGAACGCGGCGCUCUGCCGGCGAGUUUUAAGGCGCUUCAAGUCUAAAGAAGAAGUGACAGGGCAAUCAUCUCCCCGGCUUGGCUGCGGAUGGGAGGGUGGAAUCUUGCUAACAGCUCGCGUAUCUGUAUAUUUAAUUGCGACCUGGCUGCAUGUUCCUGUUGAGGAAGGAUGCAGAUCACAAGCGAAUCUAUAAAAACGCAGUUGACAAGCCAAGGAAAGGGAUAACUGACAGAUGAAACGACAGUCAGCGCGGAGCUAACUGGCAAACGCAUCGGUACAAAGUCAGAUACCUUCUUAGAGGAGUAGUAGUUUGUUUUAUUCCGGUUCUCCAGAGUUUUAUCUACUGUCGAUGUGAUGGGGUAGAGAGGAGCUAAUGCGCCCUGUUUAGGAUACACACAUGCAGAUUAGAUCAGGCUUCAGACACCGUGUUUCACUCAAGACUUAGAACAGUUAGAGGAAUAAACCAGGCUUCACCCACCUAGGAAAACAUGGAAUUUUCUUUUAAUGAUUUAAAGGUGAUUUACACUUGUUUAAACACAACCGUUUCACAUACGGAUAGAGGGAGCUAUCGGGAGUUGAUGGGGUCGGGAGCUGGGGCCCGGAGCUCGCCACCACCGUUAUGCGAGGCUGGGGCGCUGGGAAUACCAGCCCAGCUCCCGUUUUCUUCACUUUUGUGUUACUUUAAGUUUUCAAUGAGGCUAGUGUAAUUACGAGGCGUUUAACUUUUUGCCAGGCUCUUUCAUUAUGGGUUUGCAUUUGCACCUCGCUUUUAAGAGAAGUAAUAACAUUCACAGUCAGGGGCAAAUCCUGUUAAUGAACAAAUUAAAGUUCAAACAGUUAUUCAA